rnacentral:rRNA from 1 species
UACGUAGGGUGCGAGCGUUGUCCGGAAUUAUUGGGCGUAAAGAGCUCGUAGGCGGCUUGUUGCGUCGGAUGUGAAAGCCCGGGGCUUAACUCCGGGUCUGCAUUCGAUACGGGCAGGCUAGAGUUCGGUAGGGGAGAUCGGAAUUCCUGGUGUAGCGGUGAAAUGCGCAGAUAUCAGGAGGAACACCGGUGACGAAGGCGGAUCUCUGGGCCGAUACUGACGCUGAGGAGCGAAAGCGUGGGGAGCGAACAGG